ACACUGUUGAGGAGUCUUACAACAAGACGAAACGGCCGUCCAGUGC
rfam:Schistosoma rodhaini strain Burundi genome assembly, scaffold: SROB_scaffold0000211